UGCUGAAUCUCUGAUAGCCGUUGUCCGUGGUGCUGAAUCUCUGAUUGCCAUUGAUAUUAGCUAGUUUCUUUACUUUAGCGCCUUUCCAAGAUGGCUGCCAGUCCAAUAUGGCUGCCAAUGAACAGAUUGGGUUACAGAUUGCUACUGUUAUUUCCCACUUUCAAGUGUUGUAAGUCUACAGUUAAAAGAAACAGAAGCCUCCAUUACUCCGUGCUCUUCCUGGCAAGUCACUAUACACGUCUGCUAUAUGUGCUGUAAUACUGAGUGAAUCAUCUCUUUCUCAUCCAACAGGCAUAUUUCUCUCUAGACUGCAUCCUGUCACUAAAGACAGAUACAUGUAUCAAACACAGGCAUGCAUGCAGAUGAGUGUCAUUCUAUAAAGCUAUAGAUGGUUUAAACAGACAGAAUCUGUGUCAUAAUGAUAGUCCUGCGUUAUAUCUGGCUCUACUGUCCCUCUGCUGUCACUAUGGAUCAGUGUUUCUGCUGCUGUCUGACACAGAUACACACACACACACUCAUACACACGUACGCAGGCACAUACAAAAAACACACAAAUAGGAGUCCAGAUUAAAAACAGGCUGUUUAUGCCACGGGCCUCAGCUCUUUCCAGCCUGCUGGUAACAGGCUGCCACCUUGAUGGAUGUGAGAGCAGUGUGUGUCCAGCCCCCUGUAGUGCCAUAAUGAGUCAGAUCCAGCAGACAGACAGACGAACCGACCCUGGGGAAGGAACGGUUGAACAGAGGCUUGACAGAAGGAAAGGUGUUUCCUGUGUGUAGCAGAGAGAGAACCAAUCAUUAUGGUAAUGCCUCAGACACCUAUCAGAUGGGCUUUCCUGCUGCUUCAUGGGAAUAAGCUACUAAUAUCUUAUUCUGACAUUGGAGGUGUGUAUAAGGCCUGUGUGUGUGUAGUGUGUGUUUGUGUGUGCAUGCGUCCAUCCAUGCAUUCUUGUGUGUGUGUGUGUGUGUGUGUGUUGUAUGAAUCAUAAGGAUAACAUUUUUGAAUUAUAUAGACAGAAAAGCAUCGUUGUGUGUGUGUGAUUACAGAGAGAAAAGUAGCAUUGUGUGUGUGUGUGUGUGUGUGUGUGUGAUUACAGAGAGAAAGCAGCAUUGUGUGUGUGUGUGUGUGUGUGUGAUUACAGAGAGAAAAGCAGUGUGUGGAGACCGCUGCAGUCUUCAGAGGCUGCACAGCUCAGAGCUGAUGGUGACAGGAGAGACGAAUACUGAAUCGAUUAGACAUUUAUAUUAUCAAAACACAAACUUUACACAUAUAAAUAAUCAAAACUUUGAAACUUGAGAUUUUUUCACAAUUUCAGUGACAGCUUGCAGCCAUUUUAACUCUCUCUUUCUCCCUCUCUGCACCUCUCAUUUUGAAGCCAAUACUGCAGCUCUGGGGACUCAUUUCUGAGUGCUUAUACAACAUUUAAUGUAGUCUACAGUCAGUUCCUAAAAUGUGAGCAGGAUCAAUACAUGAAAUGUCUCUAUGCAUUUACACUGGGUGAACAGAACAUAAAGAACACCUGCUCUUUCCAUGACAGACUGACCAGGUGAAUCCAGGUGAAAGCUAUGAUGAUCCCUUAUGGAUGUCACCUGUUAAAUUCUCUUCAAUCAGUGUAGAUGAAGGGGAGGAGACAGGUUAAAGAAGGAUUUUUAAACCUUGAGACAAUUGAGACUAGAGGUCGACCGAUUAAUCGGAAUGGCCGAUUAAUAACAAUCGGAAAUCGGUAUUUUUGGACACCGAUAUGCCCAUUUUUUUUUUUUUUAACACCUUUUAUUUAAUCUUUAUUUAACUUGGCAAGUCAGUUAAGAACACAUUCUUAUUUUCAAUGACGGCCUAGAAACGGUGGGUUAACUGCCUCGUUCAGGGGCAGAACGACAGAUUUUCACCUUGUCAGCUCGGGGGAACCAAUCUUGCAACCUUACAGUUAACUAGUCCAACGCAAUAACGACCUGCCUCUCUCUCGUUGCACUCCACAAGGAGACUGCCUGUUACGCAAAUGCAGUAAGCCAAGGUAAGUUGCUAGCUAGCAUUAAACUUAUCUUAUAAAAAACAAUCUAUCAUAAUCACUAGUUAACUACACAUGGUUGAUGAUAUUACUGGAUAUUAUCUAGCGUGUCCUGCGUUUCAUAUAAUCUGACUGAGCAUACAAGCAUACAAGUAUCUGACUGAGCGGUGGUAGGCAGAAGCAGGCUCGUUAUCAUUCAUUCAAACAGCACUCUUGUGCGUUUUGCCAGCAGCUCUUCGUUGUGCUUCAAGCAUUGCGCUGUUUAUGACUUCAAGCCUAUCAACUCCCGAGAUGAGGCUGGUGUAACCGAAGUGAAAUGGCUGGCUAGUUAGCGCGCGCUAAUAGCAUUUCCAACUUCACUCGCUCUGAGCCUUGGGGUGGUUGUUUCCCUUGCUCUGCAUGGGUAACUCUGCUUCGAUGUGGUGGCUGUUGUCGUUGUGUUGCUGGUUCGAGCCCAGGGAGGAGCGAGGAGAGGGACGGAAGCUAUACUGUUACACUGGCAAUACUAAAGUGCCUAUAAGAACAUCCAAUAGUCAACGGUUAAUUAAAUACAAAUGGUAUAGAGGGAAAUAGUCCUAUAAUUCCUAUAAUAACUACAACCUAAAACUUCAUACCUGGGAAUAUUGAAGACUCAUGUUAAAAGGAACCACCAGCUUUCAUAUGUUCUCAUGUUCUGAGCAAGGAACUGAAACGUUAGCUUUUUUACAUGGCACAUAUUGCACUUUUACUUUCUUCUCCAACACUUUGUUUUUGCAUUAUUUAAACCAAAUUGAACAUGUUUCAUUAUUUAUUUGAGGCUAAAUUGAUUGUAUUGAUGUAUUAUAUUAAGUUAAAAUAAGUGUUCAUUCAGUAUUGUUGUAAUUGUCAUUAUUACAAAUACAUAAAAAAAAAUAACAAAAUAAAAAAUUUAAAAAAACGUCAGAUUAAAUCGGUAUUGGCUUUUUUGGUCCUCCAAUAAUCGGUAUCGGCGUUGAAAAAUCAUAAUCGGUCGACCUCUAAUUGAGACAUGGAUUGUGUGAGUGUCAUUCAGAAGGUGAAUGGGCAAGACAAAAUACUUAAGUGACUUUGAACUGGGUUGCCAGGCGCACCAGUUUGUGUCAAGAGCUGCAAAGCUAGGGCUGUAUAAAAAACGUACGUGAUCGGGAGUCCCAUUAGGCGGCACACAAUUGGUCCAGCGUCAUCCGGGUUAGAGGAGGGAUUGGCCGAGGGGGCUUUACUUUAUUCAUUGCGCUCUAGCGACUCCUUGUAGCAGGCCGAGGCACCUGCAGGCUGACCUCGCUUUUCACUUGAAUGGCGUUUCCUCCGACACAUUGGAGAGGCUGGCUCCCGGGUUAACCGGGCGAGUGUUGA
rnacentral:lncRNA from 1 species